CUUCGCGGAGCCUUGUGGGUAGCUGGCCGGGGUCUCCUGGCGACGACCAUGGCGGGGGACGUGGGCGGACGCAGCUGCACAGACUCAGAGCUGCUGCUGCACCCGGAACUGCUGUCCCAGGAGUUCCUUCUUCUCACCCUGGAGCAGAAGAACAUAGCUGUAGAAAACGACGUAAGAAUAAACAAAGACAAUCUUACUGAUCUUUAUGUCCAGCAUGCCAUACCAUUGCCGCAGAGGGAAUUGCCAAAGAAUAGAUGGGGGAAAAUGAUGGAAAAGAAGAGAGAACAACAUGAGAUAAAAAAUGAACCUAAGAGGGCCAGCACUGUGGACGUGUUGAGGAAGAGACCCCUCAUCGUGUUCGAUGGAAGCUCGACCAGCACAAGCAUAAAGGUGAAGAAGACAGAGAACGGAGCCCCCGAUCGUCUCAAGCCACCCCCUCGGGCAGGCGCCACCACUAAUGCCUUUCGUAAAGUACCCAACUCCUCAUCCAGCAUCUUGCCCCUAAACUUAUCUUCCACUUUGCUUACAAAUGAUAAAAUAGAACAUGGAAAUAGUGACACUAAGCAGAACCAUGACGUAACACACAGGAGAAGUCCUCCAGGCACUGCAAAGUCGCCACCCUUGUCCCCUGUUGGAACUACGCCUGUGAAGUUGAAGCGUGCUGCUCCCAAAGAGGACACAGAGGUCCCAAGAGAGGCUGUGCCAGAGAGGUGAAGUCGGGAUCCCAGAGGCGGAAGAAAUUAGCCAGACCAAGGAAGGAGAGGACUUGCUGUUUGUGGCCAGCACCCGAAGUUCAUGAAGGAGAGCUUUGCGGUCAGCAGUGAUCGCACGAGUGGUGGGAGUGAGGAACAACCUGAAGCCACCAGAAACGAAGAGGAAGAUACAGCAUGUCACGUGGCCCUGAAAGAAAGUGUCCCGAAAUGGAAAUGC